rnacentral:rRNA from 1 species
GAUCCUGGCUCAGGAUGAACGCUAGCGACAGGCUUAACACAUGCAAGUCGAGGGGCAGCGGGGUGUAGCAAUACACCGCCGGCGACCGGCGCACGGGUGAGUAACGCGUAUGCAACUUGCCUAUCAGAGGGGGAUAACCCGGCGAAAGUCGGACUAAUACCGCAUGAAGCAGGGAUCCCGCAUGGGAAUAUUUGCUAAAGAUUCAUUGCUGAAAGAUGGGCUCGCGUCUGAUUAG